AUUGAACGCUAGCGGGAUGCUUAACACAUGCAAGUCGAACGAGUGGCGUACGGGUGGGUAAUAUAUCGGAACGUGCCCAGUAGCGGGGGCUCACUACUCGAAAGAGUGGCUAAUACCGCCUACUAUUGGAUCGGCCGAUAUCGGAUUAGCUAGGUGGUGGGGUAAAGGCUCACCAAGGCCACGAUCCGUAGCUGGUUUGAGAGGACGACCAGUCACACUGGGACUGAGACACGGCCCAGACUCCUACGGGAGGCAGCAGUGGGGAAUAUUGGACAAUGGGGGAAAGCCUGAUCCAGCCAUCCCGCGUGUAUGAGAAGGCCUUCGGGUUGUAAAGCACUUUUGGUAGAGAAGCGGUAUCUGCAGAAUAAGCACCGGCUAACUACGUGCCAGCAGCCGCGGUAAUAC
rnacentral:rRNA from 1 species